rnacentral:rRNA from 1 species
GACGAACGCUGGCGGCGUGCUUAACGCAUGCAAGUCGAACGGAAAGGCCUGUCCUUCCUUGUGUUGGACGGGUACUCGAGUGGCGAACGGGUGAGUAACACGUGAGUGAUCUGCCCCCAACUUGGGUAUAAGCCUGGGAAACUGGGUCUAAUUCCCGAUAGGACUGCAGGGUGGUGCCUGUGGUGGAAAACGAUUUUCUAGUGGUUGGGGAUGAGCUCGCGGCCUAUCAGCUUGUUGGUGGGGUAAUGGCCUACCAAGGCGGCGACGGGUAGCCGGCCUGAGAGGGUGGACGGCCACAUUGGGACUGAGAUACGGCCCAGACUCCUACGGGAGGCAGCAGUGGGGAAUAUUGCACAAUGGGCGGAAGCCUGAUGCAGCGACGCCGCGUGGGGGAUGACGGCCUUCGGGUUGUAAACUCCUUUCGACCGCGAGGAAGCCGCCUGGUUGGAAGGGUGGUGACGGUAGUGGUAGAAGAAGCACCGGCUAACUACGUG